rnacentral:tRNA from 1 species
GCGGGCGUGGUGGAACCGGUAGACACGCGGGAUUUAGGUUCCCGUGGCGCAAGCCGUGCGAGUUCGAGUCUCGCCGCCCGCACCA